ensembl:miRNA
UAUUAGGUUGGUGCAAAAGUAAUUGCGGUUUUUGCCAUUGCUUUUCAUAGCCAAAAACUGCAGUAACUUUUGCACCAACCUAAUACU